rnacentral:rRNA from 1 species
UACGUAGGCAGCGAGCGUUGUUCGGAGUUACUGGGCGUAAAGGGCGCGUAGGCGGUGCGGUAAGUCUGUAGUGAAAUCUCUGGGCUCAACUCAGAGUCUGCUGCAGAAACUGCCGUGCUUGAGUGUGGGAGAGGUGAGUGGAAUUCCCGGUGUAGCGAUGAAAUGCGUAGAUAUCGGGAGGAACACCUGUGGCGAAAGCGGCUCACUGGACCACAACUGACGCUGAGGCGCGAAAGCUAGGGGAGCAAACAGG